rnacentral:lncRNA from 1 species
CUUUUAAAUUACAUAAAUACUCAGAACAUGGGGAAUUAAUUUAAAACUUGAGUUUAAGAAAAAUCUAAUUAUUACUUGAAAUCUAGAAGCAUUCGCAGAAAAUGCUUUACUUUAUGCAGCCCUUAUUGCUGAAGGGAUUUCCACACAGUGGAAGGCUGAGCCUAUCCUCAGUGUAGGCAAAGUCAGCCAGAGGGGUCUGGGAUGAAUCCUGCAACUACAGGACCAGCAUGCUGACCAUCCAUGAGCUCUGGGCAAGACUGUCCCCAGCAAGGGCAGCCUAUCAGUACUCCUCACAGUGUGGCUCACUUCUUUCAACUAGGAUGCUGACCUUUCUUCCCUACCAGUGUCCUGUUUACCUACUUCAAAAGAUGAAAGUGCUGACCUGCUUCAUAGAAAUGUUGUUUAAUUAAUACAAGCCCUUCUCAAACAUGAAGAACUAGUACAACUUCUUUGGGAGCUAUGCUGCUAAAAGACAACAUGGGUUUAAAUCUUUAGACUGGAAUAAAUCUAAAAGAGGACAUAAUCGUUGGCUUUCUUCCACUAGUAUUAAAGGACUUUAUAGAUCUUUAAUGAUCUCAGAUGAAAGAAAAUGGAAAAUGUAUGAUCAUUCCAUGACAAGGUG